CGCCCAACAGCUAGCCCACCCCCUAAAACCAACAAACCCAUAUCUCUACCCAUUAAUAUACACACAAAAAUAAAACAAACCAUUUUUCCUU
rnacentral:rRNA from 1 species